AUCACUUCUCAGCCUUUUGGCUAAGAUCAAGUGUAGUGUCUCUUCUUAUCAGUUUAAUAUCUGGUACGUCCUCUCUCUGAGGACAUUAUAUUAAAUGUAUUUUUGGAGCAGGGAGAUGGAGUAGGAGCUUGCUCCGUCCACUCCACGCAUCGACCCGGUAUUGCAGUACUUCCGGGAACGGUGCACCAAGA
ensembl:snRNA U2 U2 spliceosomal RNA